UACGGGGGGGGUAAGCGUUGUUCGGAAUUACUGGGCGUAAAGAGCGUGUAGGCGGCCAGGUAGGUCCGUUGUGAAAACUCGAGGCUCAACCUCGAGACGUCGAUGGAAACCAUCUGGCUAGAGUCCGGAAGAGGAGAGUGGAAUUCCUGGUGUAGCGGUGAAAUGCGCAGAUAUCAGGAAGAACACCUAUGGCGAAGGCAGCUCUCUGGGACGGUACUGACGCUGAGACGCGAAAGCGUGGGGAGCGAACAGG
rnacentral:rRNA from 1 species